rnacentral:lncRNA from 1 species
CCGCCCUGUUAAUGAAACAAAAGCGCAGGGAGGAGGGAGGUAGGAGAGGAGGCGGGAGGAAGGUUUAGAAAGAGGAUGGGGACAGUGGUACGAAGGAGCAGAGGGGGGUGAGGAAGGGGUAGGGAACAGAGACUGGGGCUGGGGACCCCGUUUCGGUUCCUCGCGGCGGGUCGCUUACAUGCCCAGGUCGCUGUAGGUGUUGAAGAACUCCAUCUGGUUGCACGCCUGGAUCCAGCCCACCACCCAGGACCUCGCAGCUUUUUCCAAGUGUAUUUGUAUAGAAAUGACCACCAAGACCCAAUGAAAAUCAAUGACAUGGAGAGACAUCAUGGACCAAAGACACCAAGGAAUUGGAGGACCUGGAUUUCCAACUGGCUGGGUGACAUUGCACAGAUUCUUUGUUUACAAUGAUAUUAACAUUUCUGCGAUAUGCAGCAGGAGAGAUGGACUUCUUCCCAGGAGCUCUGAGCAAGUCUUUCUUCCCAUCUCAUUUUCCCAAACAUUCCUGGAAGUCUCUAAAAGCGGGUGGCUUUGAUUCUUCCAUCAGUGCCUACUGUGUGCCAGGAAUUAUUCUAGGCACUGGCCACAAAGCAGAAAAUGACUCUCAAGGUUUUAUGGAACUUACGAAAAGUUCUGUUUUUGUCUUGUAAACAGAAAACAAGGUAAGUGCGUAAAAUAGCUUUAUGCUACAUGGCAUGCUACAUGAUAUGUGCUAAUGAGAUAAAUA